rnacentral:misc_RNA from 1 species
UCUCCGUUGGUGAACCAGCGGAGGGAUCAUUACUGGAAUCGCAAGAUCCCACAACCCCUGUGAACCUACCGAAACGUUGCCUCGGCGGGGUCACGCCCCGGGUGCGUCGCAGCCCCGGAACCAGGCGCCCGCCGGAGGGACCAACCAAACUCUUUCUGUAGUCCCCUCGCGGACGUUAUUUCUUACAGCUCUGAGCAAAAAUUCAAAAUGAAUCAAAACUUUCAACGACGGAUCUCUUGGUUCUG